rnacentral:rRNA from 1 species
GACGAACGCUGGCGGCGUGCUUAACACAUGCAAGUCGAACGGAAAGGCCCUGCUUUUGUGGGGUGCUCGAGUGGCGCACGGGUGAGUAACACGUGAGUAACCUGCCCUUGUCUUUGGGAUAACUUUAGGAAACUGGGGCUAAUACCGGAUAGGAGCUCCUGCUGCAUGGUGGGGGUUGGAAAGAUUCGGCGGUUGGGGAUGGACUCGCGGCUUAUCAGCUUGUUGGUGGGGUAGUGGCUUACCAAGGUUUUGACGGGUAGCCGGCCUGAGAGGGUGACCGGCCACAUUGGGACUGCGAUACGGCCCAGACGCGUACGGUAGGCAGCAGUGGGGAAUAUUGCAGAAUGGGCGGAAGCCUGAUGCAGCAACGCCGCGUGCGGGAUGACGUCCUUCGGGGUGUAAACCGCUUUCGCCUGUGACGAAGCGUGAGUGACGGUAAUGGGUAAAGAAGCACCGGCUAACUACGUG